CCGUACUUCCUAGUGAUUUCUGUUUGAUCCCGGCGGAGGCUACUGCUAUUGGGAUUCGAUUAAGCCAUGCGAGUUGAAUGAAUUUAGAUCCAUGGCGUACGGCUCAGUAACACGUGGAUAACUUACCCUUAGGACUGGGAUAACUCUGGGAAACUGGGGAUAAUACCGGAUAUUAGGCUAUGGCUGGAAUGCUUUGCCUUUGAAAUGUUUCUUGUAUUCGCCUAAGGAUAGAUCUGCGGCUGAUUAGGUCGUUGGUGGGGUAAUGGCCCACCAAGCCUAUGAUCGGUACGGGUUGUGAGAGCAAGAGCCCGGAGAUGGAACCUGAGACAAGGUUCCAGACCCUACGGGGUGCAGCAGGCGCGAAACCUCCGCAAUGUACGAAAGUGCGACGGGGGGAUCCCAA
rnacentral:rRNA from 1 species